rnacentral:rRNA from 1 species
UAAGGUAGCAUAAUCACUUGCUUAUUAAUUGUAAGCUGGAAUGAACGGCUCGACGAAAGAUUAGCUGUCUUAUCUUAACUAUUUAAUUUUUAAGUCAAGGUAAAAAUACCUUCUGACUCUAGAGGGACGACAAGACCCUGGGAUCUCUCAAUAUUAAUAUUUUCACAGUAAACAAUUAAAAUUUCUAAAAAGACACUGGGGCGGUGAAACUUUUAAACAAAUUUAUCUUAAAACAUUAUGAAUGAUAUUUUCCACCUUAAUAUACUCGUUAAUAAGAUACCCCAGGGAUAACAGCAUAAUUUACUUUUAGAGUUCUUAUCGGCAAAGUAAGGAUUAUGACCUCGAUGUUGAAAUUGAAAAUUUAAGAAAUUAAAGCAGCAG